GACGAACGCUGGCGGCGUGGAUUAGGCAUGCAAGUCGAACGGUAUCAUCCUUUCGGGGGUGAGAGAGUGGCGAACUGGUGAGUAACACGUAGGUUAUCUACCCUCAAGACGGGGACAACCCAGGGAAACUUGGGCUAAUACCGGAUGUGAGCAACUUUUAGUUGUUUGAAAGGUGGCGUAAGCUGUCGCUUGGGGAUGAGCCUGCGUCCUAUUAGUUAGUUGGUGAGGUAACGGCUCACCUAGGCAAUGAUAGGUAGGCGGCCUUAACGGGUGGUCGCCCACACUGGGAUUGAGAUACGGCCCAGACUCCUACGGGAGGCAGCAGUCGAGAAUAGUCUACAAUGGUCGGAAGACUGAUAGUGCGACGCCGCGUGAACGAUGAAUCCCUUCGGGGUGUAAAGUUCUUUUAUAUGUGAGCAGCGCUUCUUAUAUUAACAGUAUGGGGAGAGAGAUAUUAGCAUAUGAAUAAGCAACGGCUAACUCCGUGCCAGCAGCCGCGGUAAUCUCG
rnacentral:rRNA from 1 species